rnacentral:misc_RNA from 1 species
UAUUGGACUAAAGGUGGUGCUCUUAGGAACGUUCCAAUCGGGGGCGGAUGCAGAAAAAACAAGAGCACAACUGUAUCUACAUUAGUUGGAAAGUCAAGCACCAGUAAGAUGAAAACAGUGGCAUCUGAGAUUGGAAGAUCGAGCUUUGGGAAUGGAUUUGAUAAUGAACUUCCAUCAAGCCCAAUUAUGUGGGCUUCACCUCAGAAUUCGCAUCUUCUAUCCUUACUGAGAACCACCCAUAACCCUAACCCUAACUCCAGUACACUAACUAAUUCUCUUGCUUUGAAGGAGGAAGGGUGUAUGAUCGGAACC